UACGGAGGGUGCGAGCGUUGUCCGGAAUCACUGGGCGUAAAGGGCGCGUAGGCGGCCUGAUAAGUAGGGGGUGAAAUCCUGCGGCUUAACCGCAGGGCUGCCUUCUAGACUGUCAGGCUAGAGCACAGUAGAGGCAGGUGGAAUUCCCGGUGUAGCGGUGGAAUGCGUAGAGAUCGGGAAGAACAUCAGUGGCGAAGGCAGCCACCUGGCAUCAUACUGACGCUGAGGCGCGAAAGCGUGGGGAGCGAACAGG
rnacentral:rRNA from 1 species